rnacentral:rRNA from 1 species
UACGGGGGGGGCAAGCGUUGUUCGGAAUUACUGGGCGUAAAGGGCUCGUAGGUUGCCAACUAAGUCAGACGUGAAAUCCCUCGGCUUAACCGGGGAACUGCGUCUGAUACUGGAUGGCUUGAGUUUGGGAGAGGGACGCGGAAUUCCAGGUGUAGCGGUGAAAUGCGUAGAUAUCUGGAGGAACACCGGUGGCGAAGGCGGCGUCCUGGACCAACACUGACACUGAGGAGCGAAAGCCAGGGGAGCGAACGGG